AUGGUGUUGCUUGACAUUAGGGGUAUGUUGCAGUCCAUGGGCAAAGACAUAGCUGAUUUCGCUCUUCCAUGCAUUGACGAUGCGUUCGACCCAACCGAGGGCGAGGCCAGAGAAGUGAUCGAGGAAUCCAACGUCGAUUUUGACAUCAAUGGCACUAAAUUGGCUUCGUCGCUAAACUCGAAGCAAAGGGUUGCAUACGACGAGAUACUAGCUUCUGUUGAACGCGGUGAUGGGGGUGUGUUCUUUGUUGAUGGACCGGGAGGUACAGGGAAGACCUUCCUGUACAGGGCACUGCUCGCCAAGGUUCGAAGCGAGGGAAACAUCGCUAUCGCUACCGCGACAUCAGGCAUCGCCGCUUCUAUCAUGCCUGGAGGCAGGACUGCCCACUCGAGGUUCAAGAUCCCAUUG
rnacentral:rRNA from 1 species